rnacentral:misc_RNA from 1 species
UGUGGGAGCGAGCUUGCUCGCGAAAGCGGUGUGUCAGCCACUAUUGAAUUGCCUGAUACACCGCUAUCGCGAGCAAGCUCGCUCCCACA